GACGAACGCUGGCGGCGCGCUUAACACAUGCAAGUCGAACGGAAAGGCCUGCUUUCCCUUGUGGAUUGCGGGUACUCGAGUGGCGAACGGGUGAGUAACACGUGAGUGAUCUGCCCCCAACUUGGGUAUAAGCCUGGGAAACUGGGUCUAAUUCCCGAUAGGACUGCAGGGUGGUGCCUGUGGUGGAAAACGAUUUUCUAGUGGUUGGGGAUGAGCUCGCGGCCUAUCAGCUUGUUGGUGGGGUAAUGGCCUACCAAGGCGGCGACGGGUAGCCGGCCUGAGAGGGUGGACGGCCACAUUGGGACUGAGAUACGGCCCAGACUCCUACGGGAGGCAGCAGUGGGGAAUAUUGCACAAUGGGCGGAAGCCUGAUGCAGCGACGCAGCGUGGGGGAUGACGGCCAUCGGGUUGUAAACUCCUUUCGACCGCGAGGAAGCCACCUGGUUGGAAGGGUGGUGACGGUAGUGGUAGAAGAAGCACCGGCUAACUACGUG
rnacentral:rRNA from 1 species